rnacentral:rRNA from 1 species
GGUUCUCCCCGAAAGCUAUUUAGGUAGCGCCUCGUGAAUUCAUCUCCGGGGGUAGAGCACUGUUUCGGCAAGGGGGUCAUCCCGACUUACCAACCCGAUGCAAACUGCGAAUACCGGAGAAUGUUAUCACGGGAGACACACGGCGGGUGCUAACGUCCGUCGUGAAGAGGGAAACAACCCAGACCGCCAGCUAAGGUCCCAAAGUCAUGGUUAAGUGGGAAACGAUGUGGGAAGGCCCAGACAGCCAGGAUGUUGGCUUAGAAGCAGCCAUCAUUUAAAGAAAGCGUAAUAGCUCACUGGUCGAGUCGGCCUGCGCGGAAGAUGUAACGGGGCUAAACCAUGCACCGAAGCUGCGGCAGCGACGCUUAUGCGUUGUUGGGUAGGGGAGCGUUCUGUAAGCCUGUGAAGGUGUACUGUGAGGUAUGCUGGAGGUAUCAGAAGUGCGAAUGCUGACAUAAGUAACGAUAAAGCGGGUGAAAAGCCCGCUCGCCGGAAGACCAAGGGUUCCUGUCCAACGUUAAUCGGGGCAGGGUGAGUCGACCCCUAAGGCGAGGCCGAAAGGCGUAGUCGAUGGGAAACAGGUUAAUAUUCCUGUACUUGGUGUUACUGCGAAGGGGGGACGGAGAAGGCUAUGUUGGCCGGGCGACGGUUGUCCCGGUUUAAGCGUGUAGGCUGGUUUUCCAGGCAAAUCCGGAAAAUCAAGGCUGAGGCGUGAUGACGAGGCACUACGGUGCUGAAGCAACAAAUGCCCUGCUUCCAGGAAAAGCCUCUAAGCAUCAGGUAACAUCAAAUCGUACCCCAAACCGACACAGGUGGUCAGGUAGAGAAUACCAAGGCGCUUGAGAGAACUCGGGUGAAGGAACUAGGCAAAAUGGUGCCGUAACUUCGGGAGAAGGCACGCUGAUAUGUAGGUGAAGUCCCUCGCGGAUGGAGCUGAAAUCAGUCGAAGAUACCAGCUGGCUGCAACUGUUUAUUAAAAACACAGCACUGUGCAAACACGAAAGUGGACGUAUACGGUGUGACGCCUGCCCGGUGC